rnacentral:rRNA from 1 species
UACGUAGGCGGAACGCCAAGUAUCUUGUGAAAUCCCUCGGCUCAACCGAGGAAUUGCAGGGUAAACUGGCAUUCUUGAGGCAGGUAGAGGUAACUGGAACUCAUGGUGGAGCGGUGGAAUGCGUAGAUAUCAUGGGGAACGCCAAAGGUGAAGACAAGUUACUGGGCCUGUCCUGACGCUGAGGUACGAAAGCGUGGGUAGCAAACAGGAUUAGAUACCCUGGUAGUCC